rnacentral:rRNA from 1 species
UACGGAGGUGGCAAGCGUUGUUCGGAAUGACUGGGCGUAAAGGGCGCGUAGGCGGCCGCCUAAGUCAGACGUUAAAUCCCCAAGCUUAACUUGGGAACUGCGUCUGAUACUGGGUGGCUUGAGUUCGGGAGAGGAAUGUGGAAUUCCAGGUGUAGCGGUGAAAUGCGUAGAUAUCUGGAGGAACACCGGUGGCGAAGGCGGCAUUCUGGACCGAAACUGACGCUGAGGCGCGAAAGCCAGGGGAGCAAACGGG